UACAGAGGGGCAAGCGUUGUUCGGAAUUACUGGGCGUAAAGGGCGCGUAGGCGGCCUGCUAAGUCGAACGUGAAAUCCCCGGGCUCAACCCGGGAACUGCGUCCGAUACUGGCAGGCUCGAAUCCGGGAGAGGUAAGCGGAAUUCCUGGUGUAGCGGUGAAAUGCGUAGAUAUCAGGAGGAACACCUGCGGUGUAGACGGCUUACUGGACCAUAACUGACGCUGAGGCACGAAAGCGUGGGUAGCAAACAGG
rnacentral:rRNA from 1 species